GGUAUUUGCUUAAGGUCUUGCACAUCGGGCUCAUUUUGAAAACCUCUGUGUCUCACCCUCAUGGUUUAUUCAUUUACAGAAAGAUCACUUUGUCUGAGCUGUUGCUCCUUAUUCCUGCCCAUGUCAGUCCUGCGCCAACGAGAGUACCGCCAUCUAUUGGUCUGCAUUAGCAGUGUACAUGGGCGACAUGGUGUGGUGGACGACACCAUCUUUUUCACUUUGGAUUCUCUGAAGCUUCCUGCCGGUUACGUACCUCAACCAAAUGACAUCGUUGACGUGGUCAUAGUAGAGAGCGUUCAGUCCUGCUAUAUUUGGAGAGCAGUUUCUAUGACCCCAGUGCACAUAUUGUAAAAGCAAAACCCUUUGUUUCCUGUUGGUCUUCAUUUCUAUGGGCAGUAAAGGGCCUGGUUUAAUGGAAAAGCUGAGCUUAGUAAGCCCAAACAAAAUAUUAAUGCUUUAAUUAAUCAUUUAAGACAGUGGGUAGUUCAUUUGGGACCAGGAACCUACUUUAGGGAACUGCCUUAUCCAUUCUGAAACAUGCUAAAGCUGGAUGUUUAUUGUAGGAAAGAAAUAGCACUGCAGUCAGGCACAGUAGCCCAUGCCUUUAAUUCCAGAGACUCAGAGACUGAGGCAGGAGGAUCACAGGUUUGAGGAGAGCUUGACAACUUAGUGAAUCCAGUUUCAAAAUACAAAAAAUAAAAAUGGGGGUGUAACUCAGUGGUAAAGUACCCCGGGCUCAAUCCCCUGGCAACAAGUGUUAGAGUCUGUAAACAAGUCAGGAUGGCGCCUGCUAUUUUGCCAGGGGGAGUGGUUUGUGAGGUGGCACCAGCGAGCCAUUAAGUGUGGAGAUUCCUUAUUGGUUGACUGCUGUAUCUAGUUUAUGUUAAUUAAGAUAAGCUGUGUGUAAUGUAUAUAUACCCCUCCUGUCCUACAAUAAAUGGCUCCCACUCCUACUGUAUCAAUCUACACAAGUUCUUCGUCACCCCCCGGUUAUUUUGCUGCAGCCGGACUGCGGCAGAUGGUGGCCUUUUACGGGGAGCCCCGGGACACUCAGGGGUAAGUGACGAAAAAAAAAAAAAAGCUGCCCGUCCAUAGACAGAACAGGAGCAAAUCUGUUCGUCCCUAGGCAGAUAGGGCGAGAGGAAAAAUGGCCAUUUUGAGAAAAUGGAGAAGAUUGAUGCAGUAUGUUUGUGUCUUGUUUUGUCUCAGUGUAUUGUAUUGUCUUUGUGAUGAAAAUAUGGAAGGGGUGAGAAGUAAAUUACUAAGGGAAGAAGGCACCCCAGUGGAACCAAGAAUAGUUAGGGCAUGUGUUGAUGGAAGCCCAGGAACUCUAGUCAGAAAGAAAAAGAAAGUUCAGAGGAAGGAUUAUCAGGAAAAAAGUUGCAGCAAAAGGCUAUUACUGAAUACUUUUCGUUACCGGAGGGUGCGUGAAUCGGCGCUGUGGUUGCCACGUGUGCGAGCCGGUCAUGGUGCAGCAAGGACUUUCCAAGCGGCGGCAGCCGGCUCUUCCACUGCCAGGAGCCCAAAUCUAGACCUGACCUGGAGGCACAGUCUCGCAGGCUCUUGCUCCCUGUGCCCGGAAGCAGUUUGUGUCCAGGACUCUCCCCAGGGCCAUCUGGGGCUGCCCGGAUGCUAUAGCCGAUGCUACCGGAUGCUACCGGUGUCCCUGAUGUUUGGUUAUUUUCAAUGCCAAUAACUAAGCUACAAUGGUUCUCCCACACCUGGAGGCUGAUGAAUAAUGAGCACCAUUAAGGCUUAUUUCAAAUGUAAGAAACCUUGAGAUAAUGUACUAAAUUGUUCAGAAGGUUGUUUUCUUAGCGCCUGCUGGAAUACUACAGGAUUUUCUUUACCACCCGGAGUUCCUGCCUUCAUCCCAGUGCCAGUGAAGAUGAAGGUGGAAGAAUUUCCAGUGUUGCUGAAAACCGGACGAAACUUCGUCUGAGAACCGGACGAGACUUUGGAUCAAGCUAGCUGCCUGCAGAACUUACCUGGACUGUGAUUUAAGCUAGCUGCCUGCAGAAUUUACCUGGACUGUGAUUUACCUGGACUGUGAGGACACUGCUUUAACUGGACUGAGACAACAAACUGUAAUCUACAACAAAUUGUAACUCGGUAUCUUUGCAAAUGGUGUCAUUGCUGGUAUAAUUUUUCUAAGGGCUUCUUGCAUGGAGCCAUCAAUUGGCUUGGUAUUGUGGCAUUUUGUAUCCUCCCCUUCUGCUUGUAGCAGAUUAUUUAUGGUGUUUAUGUAAAAACCACUAUGGUCAUUAUUUAAAUUAAACAAAAGGGGGAAAUGUUAGAGUCUGUAAACAAGUCAGGAUGGUGCCUGGUAUUUUGCCAGGGGGAGUGGUUUGUGAGGUUGCUCCAGCGAGCGCCAGUGUGGAGAUUCCUUAUUGGUUGACUGCUGUAUCUAGUUUAUGUUAAUUAAGAUAAGCUGUGUGUAAUGUAUAUAUACCCCUCCUGUCCUACAAUGAACGGCUCCCACUCCUGCUGUAUCAAUCUACACAAGUUCUUCGUCACCCCUCGGUUAUUUUGCUGCAGCCGGACUGCGGCAAGCAAGCUUCUUGAUUUCCUAGCACCCUGACUGGGGACUGGUAUUUUUGUCCUUGGGGGACCAGUUCUGUUGUGGUGUCCAGGACUGUUUUGGACUCUUUCAGCCCUUGAAAUAAGUUUGCAAGCACCUGGUCCCUGGUUGAAUUGAAGUUUGGUUUAGGAUGGCUACUGACUCCGGCUUCUGUGUUGCUUCUGACUCCUCACUGAUACAUUGUCUUCUGGCACUGGGGGUUGGGGAUGAUAUUUGGUGUCAAUAUGGA